rnacentral:rRNA from 1 species
GAGUUUGAUCGUGGCUCAGGAUGAACGCUGGCGGCGUGCCUAACACAUGCAAGUCGAACGAAGCAAUCGGGAUGAAGUUUUCGGAUGGAUUCCUGGUUGACUGAGUGGCGGACGGGUGAGUAACGCGUGGAUAACCUGCCUCACACUGGGGGAUAACAGUUAGAAAUGGCUGCUAAUACCGCAUAAGCGCACAGUACCGCAUGGUACGGUGUGAAAAACCCAGGUGGUGUGAGAUGGAUCCGCGUCUGAUUAGCCAGUUGGCGGGUAACGGCCACCAAAGCGACGAUCAGUAGCCGACCUGAGAGGGUGACCGGCCACAUUGGGACUGAGACACGGCCCAAACUCCUACGGGAGCAGCAGUGGGGAAUAUUGCACAAUGGGCGAAAGCCUGAUGCAGCGACGCCGCGUGAGUGAAGAAGUAUCUCGGUAUGUAAAGCUCUAUCAGCAGGGAGAAAAUGAGGUACCUGACUAAGAAGCCCCGGCUAACUACGUGCCAGCCGCGAC